AAAGAGGUCUCUAUAUAUCUAUCACAUUCAUCAUAUUUUAUCCAUUCCAUUUUCCUUGUAUGAAACGAAAUCCUGCAAUGGUGUCGUUGAAUGUUUGCAAACAACCCAUGGAUUUUACCUGAAAGGUGCUCGUGUGGCCCUUAGUCAAGCUCUGGUAAACUUGAGUCUUGAUCUUCUUCAGAAAAUGGGAUAUAUGGAACUGCAGACCCCAUUUUUCAAGAGCAAAGAUAUCAAGUGAAAGAGUGCUCAAAACUGUUUAUGGGGCCAUAUAGAUCACAGCAAAUCAAGAGCCAGCCAAAUGGCCAUGUCUAUGGCCAAAGGGGCCAUGACCAUAGGAGAGAUGAGGUUGUUGCUGCUCCAGGAGCGCCUGAUAGAGUAUAGAAAUUGAUGUAUAGGAUGAUGACAUGUGUAAUUAGAUUAGAAGAUGUGUUAGUUAAGACAGUUAGCCUUGUUGUUGGAAGUGUAUAAAUAUAUCAACCUCUUGUAUUACUUGGUGACUACGAAAUAUAUCAAGAACAUUCAUUCUCUCU